AAGUGUAAUUUAAUUAUUUUCCUUUUUUGUUGUGCUUAUAAGUAUUCUAAGUAAAAGUCAAUUACAAUUCCAUACGAAAAUCGAGUAAGUUUGAUUGCAAUUCAGCGUCAAAUAUGAGCCCGAAGCUUGAGCGCGAAAGUAGAUGACCUCUUUACCUCACAAUUGCCGAAAUUGAGUGACAAACACAUCUGCCGCCUGUAUUGUACGAAUAUAUUAUAUUAUAUAAAGUAGGCAAUUUAAUUUACAGCAACACUUUAGAUGUUUGAAGUGCUUGCUGGUAUUUUAUCCAAUGCUGUCCUACCGGGUAUGUUUUAAGAUAUAUGUCUAACCUCACGGCAUUUCAGCACUUACAAUUUUAACGACAGAUUCUGAGCGCCAAUAAAAUGCUUAGCAUGAGACGAAUAACAAUUGUUGUUACUCGAAUCGAUUUAAAUAUAUUGGUAAUGACAUGAAGCUUAAUUUUGCACGAGUACAGGGGGUUGGAGAAGAAGAGAUUUGGUCAGUAGACAAGCUAGCUGAAUCUACGGGCAAUUGCUCAUUACUUACGUGAAAUUGUUGUUGUGCUGUAGUCAUUAAACGAUGGUCGUUUUGAAUUAUGG